UAGGGAAUCUUCCACAAUGGACGCAAGUCUGAUGGAGCAACGCCGCGUGAGUGAAGAAGGGUUUCGGCUCGUAAAGCUCUGUUGUUAAAGAAGAACGCGGGUAAGAGUAACUGUUUACCCAGUGACGGUUAUUUAACCAGAAAGCCACGGCUAACUACGUGCCAG
rnacentral:rRNA from 1 species